rnacentral:rRNA from 1 species
UACGAAGGGGGCUAGCGUUGCUCGGAAUUACUGGGCGUAAAGGGAGCGUAGGCGGAUAGUUAGUCAGAGGUGAAAGCCCAGGGCUCAACCUUGGAACUGCCUUUGAUACUGGCUAUCUUGAGUAUGGGAGAGGUGAGUGGAACUCCGAGUGUAGAGGUGAAAUUCGUAGAUAUUCGGAAGAACACCAGUGGCGAAGGCGACUCACUGGCCCAUACUGACGCUGAGGCUCGAAAGCGUGGGGAGCAA